UGAUCGGGACCAAGCGUACAAAUACACGUCCAGGUAGAGUAGCUAGCAUUGACAAUUUGGAAGGUCAGUCACUCGGAAUAGCGAAGGAGUUACUGUCCAUCUACCGUCCAACCUUACUAGUCGUUUGUUCAUAGUAUCUCGGACUUUGCUGUGUUUAUUUCUGUAUUUCUGUCUCUCUCUCUCUCUUGUACUACUUAUAUCAUGGCGACUACCACCCCCACCACCGGCGUGCAGCAAAAGGAUACCACUUUCACUAAAAUAUUCGUCGGAGGGUUACCGUACCACACGACAGAUCAGUCCCUGAGGGAAUACUUCGAUAAGUUCGGCGAUAUAGAAGAGGCAGUGGUUAUUACUGACAGACAAACCGGAAAAAGCCGAGGAUACGGAUUUGUGACAAUGGCAGAUAGAGCGGCGGCUGAACGUGCCUGCAAGGACCCAAAUCCUAUCAUUGAUGGCAGAAAAGCCAACGUGAAUCUUGCGUAUCUGGGGGCAAAACCUAGGGGGAACCUCACAUCAGCGAGUUUACCGUUUGCAAUAAAGACAGGCAUUCCGAUGCUUCCCGGUCAAUAUGGCGACAAACAGAGAUGAGGGUAGCUGGCAUAACGCAUAACACUUCAUCUAGGUCAGAAGACUUGACCUUAGGAGGUCACGUGAUGACCAGUGCUCGAACAAACGAGAACAGGCUUUCCACAGUAUGUGUAUCCUUCCGCCUACUUGGCCUCGCCUGGAGUUUUGGCAAUGCCCCAUUCACCGCUGUCUCCUACUACCGGAACUACAUCCGCCCAAUACAUCGCGGACUAUUCCACGGCCGCAUACACCGGUCAGUUUACCGGGGGAUUUGAUGCAUACCCCUAUACGACGACAGCCAACGGAUACGGAGUACCCGCAGCCUAUACAUACGCCGUCCCACAACAAAUAGCAAA
rnacentral:misc_RNA from 1 species